rnacentral:tRNA from 1 species
GGUUCGGUGGCGUAGUUGGUUAUCGCAUCUGUCUAACAUUGUUUGCCUCGUCAACUGAAGUUCCACAGAAGGUCCCCAGUUCGAGCCUGGGUCGAAUCA